rnacentral:rRNA from 1 species
UACAGAGGUCCCGAGCGUUGUUCGGAUUCACUGGGCGUAAAGGGUGCGUAGGUGGCUUGGUAAGUUUGAUGUGAAAGCUCAGGGCUUAACCCUGAAAUGGCAUUGAAUACUACUGUGCUGGAGGUUUGGAGGGGGGACUGGAAUUCUUGGUGUAGCAGUGAAAUGCGUAGAUAUCAAGAGGAACACCAGUGGCGAAGGCGAGUCCCUGGACAACACCUGACACUGAGGCACGAAAGCUAGGGGAGCAAACAGG